ensembl:misc_RNA Metazoa_SRP Metazoan signal recognition particle RNA
GCCAGGCGUGGUGGCGGGCACCUGUAAUCCUAGCUACUUGGGAGGCUGAGGCAGGAGAAUCACUUGAACCCAGGAGGCAGAGGUUGCAGUGAGCCGAGAUCACACCAUUGCACUCCAGCCUGGGUUACAGAGUGAGACCCUGUCUCAA